UGGUAGUGCUCUCAAAUUCAGUUAAUGCUUGCAAUCAGUUGACGACGGUUCCCCACGCUCCCGUAAUUGUUGGUCUGAUGAAUCUGUUCUUCUCACCCACCUAUAAAUCUGUCGUCGCAUCUCUACAAUAAUUAUGAAUUGCCAAAUCAAAAGGAAAAAAUAGGUGAAUGAAGAUAGUAGACACGUCCCUACGAUUGAAGGAGUGAGCAGGGGUCGAUUUAAUUGGUCUAGGGCCAUACACGUGAGCUCAAGGUUUGAUUAGAAAUAUUUGGAACCUUGAGCAGAAGAAACCAAAAUGGCUUUCUCCAAAGCCAAGGAAAUCGUUUCCUCAAAUCCCCUCCUCAUAUCCAGGGUAACUACAAAACAAGAUGACGUAUAGAUAAAGGCUUUCACACAAGUUCACAAUGCAAUUUAUUUCAGCAUUACAUUUUUUAUGAGAACUGUAAUGAGUGCAUUCAAAGGCUCGCUAGAACCGAACACAUCAUUAGGAGGUUUCCCUGGUAACAAUUACUAUAAAGGAAAGCGAAGAAACUAAAAAAGUUGUGACGUGGGAGAAGGCCGCCUUCAUUCAGUUGAUAGAGUAGCCAAUCAUGGCAAAUUUAAGAGACUGAAAUGACAGACAAUAAAGCUAAUAUAGAGAAGAAGAUGACAUUAAAGAAGAAGACUAACCAACAAAAGAGGUGACAUGACAGGAUAAAAAGCUAAUAGAGAACAAAAUUUCAAGUCAAGACCUACAGGUACUGUGGGUCCUGUUUUCCAUGACCCUAUAUCAACCUUCUCCCAGCCUGAUAAAGAAGAAAAAGAGACCGAACUUUUUAGUGAAAGCAAGAAAGAGGGUUGUAACGAUGAUGAUGAUGACGACGAUGAAAAUGAGGCGGUGGGGAGCCUUAGAACGGGUGGCAGUUUGUUGGGAUGGGUUAAAGCAGAAGAUGGAGAGAUGGGUGAAGGUUUUUCCGGUGCUGGGUGGCAUACCAAGGGUACAUAUAGAGUUAAGAGGAAAACAAGCUUGAUCUUGACCAUGACUAAUCAACGGUCAUCCUGUUGUUGAACUCUGAUCGUGAAUGUAUUUAAAUGAGACUAUUUCAUGUUUUAGUACUCUGUUAGUUUUAUUUUCUAUCAUUUUGUGGUUGUAAACUGUUGACGUUCGUCUUCCUUUUAUAAAUUAAAGAAUUG
rnacentral:lncRNA from 1 species